rnacentral:lncRNA from 1 species
GGCCGAAAGGCGAAAGUGAGAUUUCAAGGGCCGGGUCUGGGGCCCCGCGGGCGCGCAGUGCUGCGGCGUGUGGGGAGUACGGGGAGGCUGGAGAGGAGCCGGCCCCGGGCAGUGUGAGGUGCGGAAGCGCGGUCCAGACACUUUGCUGACGGGAGGCCGGUCCGCCAGAUCCGGGAGGUGGGGCCUCGUUCUGGACUGCUGAUUUUCUUCACAGAAAUCAUGCCGUCUGUGAAUGAAGGGAGUUAUACUUCUUAUUUUCCAAAUGGAGAUUUUAUUUUUCUUGCAUGACUUCACUGGCUAGAACCACUACUACAAUGCUGAUUAGAAGUGAUAAGAAACAGAGGCAAAUGCAGGUUAAGGAACCUCACAGUAAGGGAUAAAACUCAUAUUUUAACCUGAUCUGCCUGAUUCUGGAGCCUGCACCAUCAUUCCAUUGUCGUGCUUGCCACAUGUCUCUUUGAGGCUUGCUAAAAUUGAUAUCCAUGAGUUCUAUCAAUUCUGGGACAGAGAACAAAUUGUGUUCUGUAAGGAUGGAGGGACAGCGAGGAAUUUGCCAAGACAUUUUGGAGUUUCUGAAAUAAAACCCACUUGAUCCCUUCUAUGUUCAUCUCCUGCGCUGGAUUUGAUUCAUUAAUAUUUUAUUUCAGUUUUUAAAUCUGUAUCUAUAAAUGACAUUCACACACCA